GCACUUCUUUAGUACAUAUCGUAAAAUGAAUGAAACACAGAUCAGCAUGGCCCCUGCACCAGGCAGACAUCCAAAUUCACAAAAUGCUUCAUUACGCU
rnacentral:snRNA from 1 species